rnacentral:rRNA from 1 species
UACGUAGGGUGCGAGCGUUAAUCGGAAUUACUGGGCGUAAAGCGUGCGCAGGCGGUUUUGUAAGCCGGAUGUGAAAUCCCCGGGCUUAACCUGGGAAUGGCAUUCGGGACUGCAAGGCUGGAGUGCGGCAGAGGAGACUGGAAUUCCUGGUGUAGCAGUGAAAUGCGUAGAUAUCAGGAGGAACACCGAUGGCGAAGGCAGGUCUCUGGGCAUUAACUGACGCUGAGGAGCGAAAGCAUGGGGAGCGAACAGG